rnacentral:rRNA from 1 species
CUGGCGGCGUGGUUAAGACAUGCAAGUCGCACGGGUGUAGCAAUACAUCAGUGGCGGACGGGUGCGUAAUGUAUCGCCAACGUACCCCCGGGACGGGGAUAGCCGGCCGAAAGGCCGGGUAAUACCCGAUGAGACCACGGCAGGGCAUCCUGCCGUGCUCAAAGGCCGCAAGGUGCCCGGGGAGCGGGUGAUAUCGUAUCAGCUAGUUGGUGAGGUAACGGCUCACCAAGGCGACGACGCGUAGCUGGUCUGAGAGGACGGCCAGCCUCAUCGGGACUGAGACACUGCCCGGACUCCUACGGGGGGCUGCAGUAACGAAUCUUCCCCAAUGCGCGAAAGCGUGAGGGAGCGACGCCGCGUGGAGGACGAAGUCCUUCGGGAUGUAAACUCCUGUCAGGGGUUACCAAGUUCUGAGGAGCCCCAAAGGAAGUGGCGGCUAACUCUGUGCCAGCAGCCGCGGUAAGACAGAGGCCACAAGCGUUAGGCGGAAUCACUGGGCUUAAAGCGUGUGUAGGCGGACCGUUAAGUGCUUUGUGAAAUCCCACGGCUCAACCGUGGAAUGGCUUGGCAUACUGGCGGUCUUGAGCCACUCAGGGGCAACUGGAACUAACGGUGGAGCGGUGAAAUGCGUAGAUAUCGUUAGGAACGCCGAAGGUGAAAACAGGUUGCUGGGGGUGUGCUGACGCUGAGACACGAAAGCCAGGGGAGCAAACGGGAUUAGAUACCCCGGUAGUCCUGGCCCUAAACGAUGUCCACUAGAUCGCGGUGCCUCUGACGGUGUCGCGGUCGAAGCAAAAGUGCUAAGUGGACCGCCUGGGAAGUACGGUCGCAAGGCUAAAACUCAAGGAAUUGACNGGGGCUCACACAAGCGGUGGAGCAUGUGGUUCAAUUCGAAGCAACGCGAGAACCUUACCUGGGCUUGACAUGCCUGGAUUAUCCCCAUGAAAGUGGGGUAGG